CCUACGGGAGGCAGCAGUAAGGAAUAUUGGUCAAUGGACGCAAGUCUGAACCAGCCAUGCCGCGUGAAGGAUUAAGGUCCUCUGGAUUGUAAACUUCUUUUAUUUGGGACGAAAAAGGGCCUUUCUAGGUCAACUGACGGUACCAGAUGAAUAAGCACCGGCUAACUCCGUGCCAGCAGCCGCGGUAAUACGGAGGGUGCAAGCGUUAUCCGGAUUCACUGGGUUUAAAGGGUGCGUAGGCGGGUAGGUAAGUCAGUGGUGAAAUCCUGGAGCUCAACUCCAGAACUGCCAUUGAUACUAUUUAUCUUGAAUAUUGUGGAGGUAAGCGGAAUAUGUCAUGUAGCGGUGAAAUGCUUAGAUAUGACAUAGAACACCUAUUGCGAAGGCAGCUUACUACGCAUAUAUUGACGCUGAGGCACGAAAGCGUGGGGAUCAAACAGGAUUAGAUGCCCUGGUAGUCCACGCCCUAAACUAUGACUACUCGACAUUUGUGAUACACAAUAAGUGUCUGAGCGAAAGCAUUAAGAAUCCACCUGGGAAGUACGUCCGCAAGGAUGAAGCGCAAUAGAGUAGAGACGAGAGAGNGCGAGGACGACACGAGGGAGGAGG
rnacentral:rRNA from 1 species